rnacentral:rRNA from 1 species
CACGCCAUAAACGAUGAGCACUAGCUAUUGCAAGUGUCGACCCUUGCAGUGGUCAAGCUAACGCGUUAAGUGCUCCGCCUGGGAAGUACGGCCGCAAGGCUAAAACUCAAAGGAAUAGACGGGGACUCACACAAGCGGUGGAUCACGUGGCUUAAUUCGACACUAAGCGAGGAACCUUACCAAGGCUUGAAACUCUAAUGAAAUCCUUCCGAAAGGAAGGCCCUCCGAAAGGACAUUAGAGCAGGUGC